GAUGAACGCUGGCGGCGUGCCUAAUACAUGCAAGUCGAGCGAACAGACGAGGAGCUUGCUCCUCUGACGUUAGCGGCGGUCGGGUGAGUAACACGUGGAUAACCUACCUAUAAGACUGGGAUAACUUCGGGAAACCGGAGCUAAUACCGGAUAAUAUAUUGAACCGCAUGGUUCAAUAGUGAAAGACGGUUUUGCUGUCACUUAUAGAUGGAUCCGCGCCGCAUUAGCUAGUUGGUAAGGUAACGGCUUACCAAGGCAACGAUGCGUAGCCGACCUGAGAGGGUGAUCGGCCACACUGGAACUGAGACACGGUCCAGACUCCUACGGGAGGCAGCAGUAGGGAAUCUUCCGCAAUGGGCGAAAGCCUGACGGAGCAACGCCGCGUGAGUGAUGAAGGUCUUCGGAUCGUAAAACUCUGUUAUUAGGGAAGAAAAAAUGUGUAAGUAACUAUGGACGUCUUGACGGUACCUAAUCAGAAAGCAACGGCUAACUACGUG
rnacentral:rRNA from 1 species